ensembl:snoRNA SNORD58 Small nucleolar RNA SNORD58
UUGCAAUGAUGACCAUCUUAGGACACCUUUGGAUUUCAACAUGAAAACAAACCAAUUCAAUCUGAGCAAC